rnacentral:rRNA from 1 species
AGUUCCACGGGGGGCAGCAGUGAGGAAUAUUGGUCAAUGGGCGAGAGCCUGAACCAGCCAAGUCGCGUGAGGGAGUACUGCCCUAUGGGUUGUAAACCUCUUUUGUCGGGGAGCAAAAGCCGGACGUGUCCGGCUGUGAGAGUACCCGAAGAAAAAGCAUCGGCUAACUCCGUGCCAGCAGCCGCGGUAAUACGGAGGAUGCGAGCGUUAUCCGGAUUUAUUGGGUUUAAAGGGGGAGCAGGCGGAGUUUUAAGUUAGCGGUCAAAUCGUGGGGCUCAACCCC